rnacentral:lncRNA from 1 species
GGACCAAUCCCACCGCCCACUUGCGGGGGCCCCACUUGUGAGGUAACAAUAUAUGUUUGUUACUUAUUGUGUAGAUGAAAAACGUUGGUCAAAUGAAUUUGUUAACAUCGCAUUACCAUGUUUUCUCCUUCGUUGUUUGAUUUUGCUGUUGUCUUUACAUUUAUCUCUGAAUGUUCUUUUCAUCAGUUUUCAAACCGAGGUCAAGUUAUCUGAUUGGCUUAC